rnacentral:rRNA from 1 species
GAUGAACGCUGGCUACAGGCUUAACACAUGCAAGUCGAGGGGAAACGACGGGGAAGCUUGCUUCCCCGGGCGUCGACCGGCGCACGGGUGAGUAACGCGUAUCCAACCUGCCUCUGACUGAGGGAUAACCCGUCGAAAGUCGGCCUAAUACCUCAUGGUAUCGUCUGCGGGCAUCCAACGACGAUUAAAGAUUUCAUCGGUCAGGGAUGGGGAUGCGUCUGAUUAGCUUGUUGGCGGGGUAACGGCCCACCAAGGCUACGAUCAGUAGGGGUUCUGAGAGGAAGGUCCCCCACAUUGGAACUGAGGCACGGUCCAAACUCCUACGGGAGGGAGCAGUGAGGAAGAUUGGUCAAUGGGCGAGAGCCUGAACCAGCCAAGUAGCGUGCAGGAAGACGGCCCUAUGGGUUGUAAACUGCUUUUAUGCGGAGACAAAGUGAGGGACGUGUCCCUCAUUGCAGGUACCGAAUGAAUAAGGACCGGCUAAUUCCGUG